rnacentral:rRNA from 1 species
CGUCUAGGCGGGGGAUUAAGUUAGGUGUGAAAUCCCUGGGCUCAACCCAGGAACUGCAUCUAAAACUGGUUCUCUUGAGUUCGGGAGAGGAGAGCGGAAUUCCCGGUGUAGCGGUGAAAUGCGUAGAUAUCGGGAAGAACACCAGUGGCGAAGGCGGCUCUCUGGCCUAGAACUGACGCUGAAGCGCGAAAGCGUGGGGAGCGAACG